UGCAGUGUUGAUCCUCCGUGGGUUGACAUGAGGUGGACGGAUUGCACCGGGCGGGACAGGGUUCGGCCCAGACUCCAGUGCUACUGCUGACUGGGCAGGACUGGCCCGGGUAGGACAGCUACACAUAAGUACAGCAGUGCUCCAACACUGCGGGGCGCAUGGGCACGGACACCCGGCCUGGGAGCUUCGACACAGCUGGGGACCGAACGCAGGGCCUUGCGCUUGCUAGGCAAGCGCUCUACCACUGAGCUAAAUCCCCAACCCCAAGACGUAGAACUCGCAGCUCCUCCUGCACCAUGCCUGCCUGGAUGCUGUCAUGCUCCCCCCUUGAUGCUAAUGGACUGAUUCUUUGAACGUAUCCAAGAACCAGGAGCACCAAGGAGCCUGUGGCGCUACCAUUUCUUCCUGGACCGGAAGUUUCAUCUGUGCCCCAGGAGCCCAGCAGCACAGCCUCUGGCCCAGUGUAUUUCAUGGUCCUGGGACUGCUAUCUCAGGGGAGACCAUGAGGCAGCAGCCACCAUGCUCCUGACCCCCUUGUCCACUUGCUUCCACAGGGCCAGGGCCUGGCAACCCCUGACUAGCACCCACAAGCCGGGUGAGAGGCUACUCUUGGGGUAUUGCAACAGGGAGUUCACAGGAGCAGAGGCACCAAGAGCAGCACCAGGCACAGCUGUGAGCUUUGCAACAGCUGGCACAGCAGCUGCUGGGAGAGCCUGCUGACCUGUGGACACAAGUGUCCUCUGUGCUGCCUGAGAGCCUCUGGGACUGGCACCCAGGAUAUGAGCUCCACCUACAGGUCUCUGCUUUAAACCAGAGCUCAGUGUUUAAAGAGCCUUCUGGGGCUGGAGAGAUGGCUCAGCGGUUAUUGCUCUUCCAGAGGUCCUGAGUUCAAAUCCCAGCAACCACAUGGUGGUUCACAACCAUCUGUAAUGGGAUCCGAUGCCCUCUUCUGGUGUGUCUGAAGACAGCUACACUGUACUCAUAGACAUAAAAUAAAUAAAAUCUUUAAAAAAAAAA